rnacentral:tRNA from 1 species
GGGGAUGUAGCUCAGUCGGGAGAGCGGUACGUUCGCAACGUACAGGUCGUGGGUUCGAAUCCCAUCAUCUCCACCA